rnacentral:rRNA from 1 species
GACGAACGCUGGCGGCGUGCUUAACACAUGCAAGUCGAACGGUGAAGGGGCCUGCUUUUGUGGGCCCUGGAUGAGUGGCGAACGGGUGAGUAACACGUGAGUAACCUGCCCCCUUCUUCUGGAUAACCGCAUGAAAGUGUGGCUAAUACGGGAUAUUCUGGGUCUGUCGCAUGAUGGGUCUGGGAAAGAUUGCGCCUUUGGGUGUUUUUGGUGGGGGAUGGGCUCGCGGCCUAUCAGCUUGUUGGUGGGGUGAUGGCCUACCAAGGCGGUGACGGGUAGCCGGCCUGAGAGGGUGGACGGUCACACUGGGACUGAGACACGGCCCAGACUCCUACGGGAGGCAGCAGUGGGGAAUAGUGCACAAUGGGCGCAAGCCUGAUGCAGCGACGCCGCGUGAGGGAGGGAGGCCUUCGGGUUGUAAACCUCUUUCGCCAGUGAAGCAGGCCUGCUCCUUGUGGGUGGGUUGACGGUAGCUGGAUAAGAAGCGCCGGCUAACUACGUG